UACGUAGGGGGCAAGCGUUGUCCGGAUUUAUUGGGCGUAAAGAGCGUGUAGGCGGUUUGGUAGGUCCGCUGUGAAAACUCGAGGCUCAACCUCGAGACGCCGGUGGAAACCAUCAGACUAGAGUCCGGAAGAGGAGAGUGGAAUUCCUGGUGUAGCGGUGAAAUGCGCAGAUAUCAGGAGGAACACCAGCGGCGAAGGCGGCGCUCUGGGCCGGUACUGACGCUGAGGAGCGAAAGCGUGGGGAGCAAACAGG
rnacentral:rRNA from 1 species